AUGAUCAAAACAGAAAUUGGCUUUCCUCAAAAAUUUCUUUGGAAAAUUAAGGUGCCUGCUAAAAUAAAGGUCAUCCUUUGGCUACUAAACAAAAAAACCGUUUUAACCAGAGAUAACCUUUUAAAGAGGGGCUGGAAGAGAGAGAAAAAAUGCAUUUUUUGUGGGCAUGAUGAGACAAUUGAUCAUUUAUUCUUUUCCUGCUCGAUGGCUAAGUUGAUUUGGAAUCUGCUUAGAUGUUCUUUGGAUUUUCAUUCUAUACCUGCUAACUUGGAUAAAUAUUUUGGCAGAUGGGCUCGAACCUUUGCUAAAUCGAACAGGGGAUUGAUCGUUUGGGGGUUUCUGCAUUAUUAUGGGCUAUAUGGAAAUGUCGUAAUCUUUGAAAAAAAAAAUAAUGAUCCUUUGGGUGUGGUGAAACUGAUUUGCAAUUGGAUACAGAGAGAAGAAUCUUGCAGCUGGGGGCAAAGGUGGUAG
rnacentral:rRNA from 1 species